GAACCGGAGCUAAUACCGGAUAACAUGUUGAACCGCAUGGUUCAACAGUGAAAGACGGUCUUGCUGUCACUUAUAGAUGGAUCCGCGCCGCAUUAGCUAGUUGGUAAGGUAACGGCUUACCAAGGCAACGAUGCAUAGCCGACCUGAGAGGGUGAUCGGCCACACUGGAACUGAGACACGGUCCAG
rnacentral:rRNA from 1 species